rnacentral:lncRNA from 1 species
AGCAUUCACAUAAUCUAAUGUGAAAAUAGUAAAAAAAUAAAAUUACCAUAACUUAAUGUCAUAAAUCAAUUUUUAAUAACUAAAAUUCAUAAUCAAUUAGCAUGUAAUAAAAAUCACAAAUCAAAUUCAUAAUUUUUUUUUUAUAAAUGUUUUCAUUUGAUAAAGUUAAAGAUUAAUAUGUUCGGUAAAAAAAAAAAAGAGUUCAAGUGAAAGAAGAGGACAUGAAUAUUUUUG